rnacentral:rRNA from 1 species
GAUGAACGCUGGCGGCGUGCCUAAUACAUGCAAGUCGAGCGAACAGACAAGGAGCUUGCUCCUCUGACGUUAGCGGCGGACGGGUGAGUAACACGUGGAUAACCUACCUAUAAGACUGGGAUAACUUCGGGAAACCGGAGCUAAUACCGGAUAAUAUAUUGAACCGCAUGGUUCAAUAGUGAAAGACGGUUUUGCUGUCACUUAUAGAUGGAUCCGCGCCGCAUUAGCUAGUUGGUAAGGUAACGGCUUACCAAGGCAACGAUGCGUAGCCGACCUGAGAGGGUGAUCGGCCACACUGGAACUGAGACACGGUCCAGACUCCUACGGGAGGCAGCAGUAGGGAAUCUUCCGCAAUGGGCGAAAGCCUGACGGAGCAACGCCGCGUGAGUGAUGAAGGUCUUCGGAUCGUAAAACUCUGUUAUUAGGGAAGAACAAAUGUGUAAGUAACUAUGCACGUCUUGACUGUACCUAAUCAGAAAGCCACGGCUAACUACGUG